GAUUUUGGUCAAUGUGGGAAACCCUGACCCAGCCAGCCAGCGUGUAUGAUGAAGGCCUUCGGGUUGUAAAGAACUUUUGUCAGAGAAGAAAAGGUAUCUCCUAAUACGAGAUACUGCUCACGGUAUCUGCAGAAUAAGCACCGGCUAACUACCUGCCAGCAGCCGCGGUAAUACGUAGGGUGCAAGCGUUAAUCGGAAUUACUGGGCGUAAAGCGUGUGUAGGCGGGUCGGAAAGGAAGAUGUGAAAAACCCGGGCUCAAACUUGGAAAUUCAUUUUUAAAUGGCGAGGUAGAGGAUGUCAGAGGGGGGUAGAAAUCCACGUGUAGAAGUGAGAAGCGUAAAUAUGUGGAAGAAAACCGAGGGGGAAAGGAGGCCCAUGGGAUAAUGCUGACGCUCGGACACGAAAGCGUGGGGGGCAAACAGG
rnacentral:rRNA from 1 species